rnacentral:rRNA from 1 species
CCUACGGGAGGCAGCAGUAAGGAAUAUUGGUCAAUGGAGGGAACUCUGAACCAGCCAUGCCGCGUGAAGGAUGACGGCCCUCUGGGUUGUAAACUUCUUUUGGAUGGGGCGAAAAAACGGGAUUUAUCCUGGACUGACGGUACCAUCAGAAUAAGCACCGGCUAACUCHUUGCCAGCAGCCGCGGUAAU